rnacentral:rRNA from 1 species
AGCGGUAAGGCCUUUCGGGUACACGAGCGGCGAACGGGUGAGUAACACGUGGGUGAUCUGCCCUGCACUUCGGGAUAAGUGCAGUCGCCUGGGAAACUGGGUCUAAUACCGGAUAUGACCUCCUGUUGCAUGACUUGGGGUGGAAAGAUUUAUCGGUGCAGGAUGGGCCCGCGGCCUAUCAUGUUGUUGGUGGGGUAAUGGCCUACCAAGGCGACGACGGGUAGCCGACCUGAGAGGGUGACCGGCCACACUGGGACUGAGACCCACGGCCCAGACUCCUACGGGAGGCAGCAGUGGGGAAUAUUGCACAAUGGGCGAAAGCCUGAUGCAGCGACGCCGCGUGAGGGAUGACGGCCUUCGGUAAACCUCUUUCAGCAGGGACGAAGCGCAAGUGACGGUACCUGCAGAAGAAGCACCGGCUUACUACGUGCCAGCAGCCGCGGUAAUACGUAGGGUGCAAGCGUUGUCCGGAAUUACUGGGCGUAAAGAGUUCGUAGGCGGUUUGUCGCGUCGUUCUGAAAACCAGCAGCUCAACUGCUGGCUUGCAGGCGAUACGGGCAGACUUGAGUACUGCAGGGGAGACUGGAAUUCCUGGUGUAGCGGUGAAAUGCGCAGAUAUCAGGAGGAACACCGGUGGCGAAGGCGGGUCUCUGGGCAGUAACUGACGCUGAGGAACGAAAGAUUGGGUAGCGAACAGGAUUAGAUACCCUGGUAGUCCACGCCGUAAACGGUGGGCGCUAGGUGUGGGUUCCUUCCACGGAAUCCGUGCCGUAGCUAACGCAUUAAGCGCCCCGCCUGGGGAGUACGGCCGCAAGGCUAAAACUCAAAGGAAUUGACGGGGGCCCGCACAAGCGGCGGAGCAUGUGGAUUAAUUCGAUGCAACGCGAAGAACCUUACCUGGGUUUGACAUAUACCGGAAAGCUGCAGAGAUGUGGCCCCCCUUGUGGUCGGUAUACAGGUGGUGCAUGGCUGUCGUCAGCUCGUGUCGUGAGAUGUUGGGUUAAGUCCCGCAACGAGGGCAACCCCUAUCUUAUGUUGCCAGCACGUUAUGGUGGGGACUCGUAAGAGACUGCCGGGGUCAACUCGGAGGAAGGUGGGGACGACGUCAAGUCAUCAUGCCCCUUAUGUCCAGGGCUUCACACAUGCUACAAUGGCCAGUACAGAGGGCUGCGAGACCGUGAGGUGGCGCGAAUCCCUUAAAGCUGGUCUCAGUUCGGAUCGGGGUCUGCAACUCGACCCCGUGAAGUCGGAGUCGCUAGUAAUCGCAGAUCAGGACGCUGCGGUGAAAAGUUCCCGGGCCUUGUACACACCGCCCGUCACGUCAUGAAAGUCGGUAACACCCGAAGCCGGUGGCUUAACCCCUUGUGGGAGGGAGCCGUCCAGGUGGGAUCGGCGAUUGGGACGAAGUC